GGCCUCUCAAAGCUUACCACAGGCUGUGUUCUUUACACUGGCCAUAUAGAAAGAGCAGGUACAGUAAAUGUUCCCUGUACACAACUCAAACCAGGCCCUUUGCCUGGUCUGUAUUGUGAAUGGGGGGGACAAGA